AAACACACACUCUGCAUUAUAUACACACUCUGCAUUAUAUACACAGAGGGUGUGUAUAUAAUGCAGAGUGUGUGUUU